CCUACGGGCGGCAGCAGUGGGGAAUAUUGGACAAUGGGCGAAAGCCUGAUCCAGCCAUGCCGCGUGUGUGAAGAAGGCCUUCGGGUUGUAAAGCACUUUCAGUGGGGAAGAAAGCCUUGGGGCUAAUACCCUCGAGGAAGGACAUCACCCACAGAAGAAGCACCGGCUAACUCCGUGCCAACAGCCGCGGUAAUACGGAGGGUGCGAGCGUUAAUCGGAAUUACUGGGCGUAAAGCGCGCGUAGGCGGUCUGAUAAGCCGGUUGUGAAAGCCCCGGGCUCAACCUGGGAACGGCAUCCGGAACUGUCAGGCUAGAGUGCAGGAGAGGAAGGUAGAAUUCCCGGUGUAGCGGUGAAAUGCGUAGAGAUCGGGAGGAAUACCAGUGGCGAAGGCGGCCUUCUGGACUGACACUGACGCUGAGGUGCGAAAGCGUGGGUAGCAAACAGGAUUAGAUACCCGUGUAGC
rnacentral:rRNA from 1 species